rnacentral:rRNA from 1 species
GAUGAACGCUAGCGGCGGGCUUAAUACAUGCAAGUCAAGGGGUAGCAAUACACCGGCGUACGGGUGCGUAACGCGUAUGGAACCUGCCCUUAUCUGGGGGAUAACUCGGGGAAACUCGAGCUAAUACCGCAUAAGAUAGUAGAAUGGCAUCAUUCAGCUAUUAAAGAUUUAUCGGAUAAGGAUGGCCAUGCGUAAGAUUAGAUAGUUGGUGGGGUAACGGCUCACCAAGUCUACGAUCUUUAGGGGCUCUGAGAGGAGAAUCCCCCACACCGGCACUGAGAGACGGGCCAGACUCCUACGGGAGGCAGCAGUAGGGAAUAUUGGGCAAUGGGCGGAAGCUUGACCCAGCCACGCCGCGUGCAGGAAGAAGGCCCUCUGGGUUGUAAACUGCUUUUGAUUGGGAAGAAAGCAUCUCAUGCGUGGGAUUUUGACGGUACCAAUCGAAUAAGCCACGGCUAACUACGUGCCAGCCGCCGCGGUAAAAC